UUUGAUACUCCAAUUGUUGAAAUUUGACAAGAGAUGCGCAUGUUUUCAAUAAUUGUUUACUCCAUAUUAUAGAUGAUGGUUUUUUAUUCUUUUCUUUUUUCAUACUUCGUAUAUAGAAUUACUAGUUUAACCAGUGUAAUUGUACGAUUUUAUCAAAUUUUAUAAAGAUUUAAAAUAAUUUGUAUUUAGUUCAACAAUAUGUUCUCUUCGCAGCCUGCCAAGCUUGCCCGUAGACAUGGCUUGAAGAAGAUCAUUAUCAAAUAUGAUUUUCAAGCCAUCACCAAGAGAUUGACGAAGGCUGAUAUCUACUACUCUGACCUUGAUUUUAUAAAGCGGGAAGCAAAUAAUAUAGCUCAUCAGCUUACUAGGCUAAUUUCUUUUGGGAUUGAACAAGUUUGAAAAAAUCAUGCCCCAAACGAGAUGAUACCUUAUGUAUUGAUGGACACUUUGUACCGUGAUUAAACUCAUUUCCCGUUUUUCUCAACAAAAAUAACUACGUAUAAGUAGAAUUAAAAAAAAAAAAAAAAAAAAAAAAAAAAAAAAAAAAAAAGACCUCAUGUUCCUCCGUUUCGCCCUCGUAAUGUUUAUUCUCUGAUGCUCUUCACUCACCCUCUAACUUCUAAACUCUUGCACCCCAUCAAACUCUCCCUAAUCAAACACUUUUCUCAAUCAACCCUACAAAUUUCAAUGUCAAUUGAAACUCUAAAACAAUCAAAUUCAACUUCAAUGGAAGAAACCCAUUUGCCAAAAACCUCAUCAAAUUCCUCUUACCCAACUCCAUUAUCCCCACCAUUACCUCUAAUUUCUAAGGAAAUCGAGCUUAGCAGAGCCAUGGCUGCUUCUUCAAAGGCCACUGUUUUCUCUCUUUCCAGAGAUGACGUCAUCUUCGAGGAUCAAUGGUUGCUUGUUGUUAAUAAACCCUCUGGGAUUUACUGUGAGACUGUCCUGUCUUCUGUCCCUCGUCUUCUUCAACAAUCUUCUGAUUCAGUUGAAGCUUCAGAGUUACAUCUUGCUAACAGGUUGGAUCGUGAUACAAGUGGUGUAAUGGUUAUAACCAAAUUUCACAAAGUAGCUGCCAAGCUUGUCAAGGCAUUUACUGAUCACAAGGUUCAGAAAACAUAUAUGGCUCUUUGUGUAGGGUCUGCACCAAAAUGGGAUAGAAUCAGGUUGAAAUCUGGCCAUGGUAGAUCUAAAUUUGGUGCUUGGCGUGUAUAUGCUGCGUCAGAUGUUGGUCGGAAACUACCUGGUGGAUCUGUGGUGAAGGACAUGGAGACACUUUUUGAGCUAUUGUCAGUAAAUAGGGUAAUCCAUUUUAAAGAGUCAUUCCAGUGUGCAGAAAAUCUAGAAAAAGUUGUGGUUGUUGAGGAUAAAUCAUCAACAGAUGCUAACCACGGAAGGGAUGAGAUAUUGGUCCGAGCUUUUCCAAAGAGUGGAAGGACACAUCAGAUCAGGUUGCACUGUCAGUACCUUGGACUGUCAAUUAAAGGAGAUGUAAAAUAUGAAGGUGUCUGUGAGUGGAAAGGGGAAAUUUGUGAUGCCCAUAGUCUUCAUGCAGAGAGUUUGUCAUUAGAACACCCUAUUACUGGUCUUCCAGUAAAAUUUCAGGCACCAUUGCCUUUGUGGGCAACCCAAGCAUGCAAUCAUGAAGAUCACACAUAAGGAUGAACCAAGUCACAUGCCAAUUUGUAUGCCAAGAGAUAGUUUCAUUGGUCAGUAGCAUGGUUGGUAAUGUAAAUGACAGUCUGCUGUCGACGUGAGAUGUUUAGAUUGGGAAUGUGCAUUUAAGAAUGGGAAUCACAUUUAAAAUAAUUUCCCUUAUUUAUUAUGGACUGAAAAAGCCUUAGUUUCAAUAUAUGCAACUUGAGCUAUUGAGAUUCUCUUGACUUGGUCAGCUACCCUUGUUUCCGUGUUCCAAUUGAGUGCAUUGACUCAAUGGGCUGGGGCAUCGUUCAUUCGUUCUGACUUCUGAUUGCUCUUAAAAAUGUCUCAAAGUAUGUAUGGACCUCUUACUGAAGCAACUUUGUGGGAGUACUGGAUGCAGAGAAUUUCUUACGCAGAAUACCAGUCUGAGAAUAGUGCAAACAAAUUGGCAAUUGCAGCUCAUAGCAAACAUCUUGCAAUUAGUCAAAAGUGGACAUUAGGACUGUUGCCUCUUACUUUCAGCCCAUUUAUCGCAACAAUCAAUACAUCCAUAUUUCCUGUCUUUUCCUGGGCUGUUCUCAUAGAUGAGUAGAAGAGGAUGGUAAAAGCCAGGGUGUUGGAAGGGACACUCUGGCUGGUGUGUAUGCAAAUGCAAUGUUUUUUUGGGAAUUCCCUGCUCCAAUACCAACUGGCAUUGCUAUUGAUGCUUGUGGUCCAAUUUUCUCCCAUACUCCCAUUGGUGAUAAUGCUGGGGAAAGGCAGCUUGGUGGGCACGGGCAUUAGCUAGAAGCCGUCAUGACUUAAGAGUGAACUAAUGCUCUUGAUGCUGCUGGCAACACAACUGCUGCCACCGGAAAGGUUAGGCACACCAAAUUUUAGUUAUAGUGAUGCCACAUAAAUUUGGAAACUUUUUUAUUAAUUCGCAAUUAAAAAAACUAGUUACCAUACAUGCCUAUUGUAAUGUACACCAGAACAGAAGAAAUUAGCUAUGCUAUGCAGGCUUGUUUUAUGAAUCAUGCCAAAAUGCUGGGACCACAAAGGGUCAAAUUCACCCAAGGCGGCAUUCAUUGGCAGCACCAUUAGCGACUUCCAUUUUAAGGACACCUCCGGCCCUGCACUCAACAUCCUUAACAAAUUCAUGUCAGUGGAAUCUGUGGUGUUUGCUCCAUUCUUUGCGGUCCAUGGUCUGACUGUCAACCUUGUUUAGAACUACACCGUUAUGGACUGCUUAUAAUAUUGUUAAUUUGCUAUCCAGCAGAAUAUAUAAUUAUCUUGCAACAGUUCAACCAAGAGGUCCAUGGAAUUAGCUAUUUGGCAACAUCAUGAGCAUGUAAACCGAGAAGUCAAUCAUCUUGCCAAUUUCAUUGCAGUUAUGGACCAUCACCCAUCAUAUUGAUCAAUAAGGAAGUUGAAGCUAAUCUAGGCCAACAUAGGGCCUUGACCAUCUCAUACAACUAUCAAAUAAACUAGGGUAGUCACUCCAUUGAUCAUCCUCGGUGUUGCAUGAUUUGUCCUCUAUUUAACCGAAACUUGCUAUCAAGUCGGAGUAGGUAACAUGCAGUAAUAGAAAACACAUAAAAUGCAAAUGUAGAUCAUUCUCAUCUUCAAUUGGUUUUUUAAGCUUAUCCCAUGUGAUAUCUUACUGUUGUGAACCCGAAAAUUGUUAAAUUGGUAAACUACUCUAGGAAAACUGAUCUUGCUAUUUUUAUAAGAGUAGUUGCAUCCAAAGUGCAGAUUUAUAAUGAUAGUUUUAUGGAUACUUUAGAUAGAAGUUUUGAAUUAAAAAAUUAUGUAAAUAUUAAGAAAAAAAGAGAAAGUAAUAAGCAAUA